CGGACUGGGGAUGACGAGACAAACAGGUACUUAUGUACAAACACUACUAAGGGGCUAACGAGAGUCAGCUGGAAGCGAUUUUCAAAUGAGAGUUAGGAACAAGUGGCAAGACAAGAGGAAUACACAAUUCUGCAGGUCAGGUAAAGUGGAGGCGUGCCGGGAUGUCAGAAAAACAAAUGCUGGAUUCGCAGAAACAUCUCCUGGAUGCCCUGGUAUGCAUCAUCAGUGAUGUAUCCUGGGGUCAACAGGUGUUUCGGGUGUCGCAACAUCAGACACCCUCGCCCAGGCGACCCAGCCGGGGGUGAUCGGGCCCCGACUUGCGUACCAGUAGCUACCCACGGAUCAGCCCUCUUGAGCCACAGCCACCAUGUGGCUUUCUCUGCAGCUUCACUCACAGCCUGGAUAGCCCUCUUCGUGGCUGCCCCAGUCACCCCCAGCCGGCCGUGUGUUUUGGUCCUGUUUCCCCAGUCUCGUCUCGUCCGUCACCUCCCCUUUGGGGAGGGGGGG